rnacentral:rRNA from 1 species
AUGGAUCGUGAUAGCGUGCCCCACAAGGCAUUUCUAAACAUGAGCACCAACCUGUUCCGGUCCCAGGGCAUCAUCGUCAACACCUUCCGCUCGCCGGAGCCACGCGCCAUGGACACCAUCGUGGCCGGACUCUGCGCACCAUCCGGCCUCUGGACACCCCCGGUCUACUGUAUUGGGCCACUGAUCAAGUCGGAGGAGGUCGGCGUGAAGCGCGGUGACGAGUGUCUCGCGUGGCUGGACGCGCAGCCCAAGGGCAGCGUGGUCUUCCUCUCCUUCGGCAGCCUUGGCCGGUUCAGCGCCAAACAAACAAGGAAGGUGGCCGCCGGACUAGAAGCUAGUGGACAGAGGUUCAUGUGGGUCGUGCGGAGCCCGCCAAGCGCCGACUCGUCGAAGAACUCCGAGAAGCCGCCUGAGCCGGAUUUGGAUACCCUCCUCCCGCAGGGUUUCCUUGAAAGGACCCAGGGCAGGGGCCUCGUUGUGAAGUCAUGGGCGCCGCAACGUGACGUGCUGGCACACGAUGCAGUUGGUUGUUUUGUGACACAUUGUGGGUGGAACUCAGUGCUCGAGUCGGUCAUGGCAGGUGUGCCGAUGUUAGCGUGGCCGUUGUACGCGGAGCAACUGAUGAACGCGGUGUUCCUGGAGAAAGAGAUGGAGCUGGCCGUCGCGAUGGAAGGGUGCGACAAGGAGGUGGUAGAGGCCGAGGAGGUUGCUAAGAAGGUCUGGUGGAUGAUGGACUCCGACGGCGGGAGGGUGCUCCGAGAGCGGACUUUGGCGGUGAUGAGGCAGGCGAAAGAGGCUCUACUCGAGGGUGGGGAAUCAGAGGCGACGUUGACGGGGCUGGUGGACACGUGGAUUCGUGUUUGA